AUUGAACGCUGGCGGCAGGCCUAACACAUGCAAGUCGAACGGUAACAGGAAGCAGCUUGCUGCUUUGCUGACGAGUGGUGGACGGGUGAGUAAUGUCUGGGAAACUGCCUGAUGGAGGGGGAUAACUACUGGAAACGGUAGCUAAUACCGCAUAACGUCGCAAGACCAAAGAGGGGGACCUUCGGGCCUCUUGCCAUCGGAUGUGCCCAGAUGGGAUUAGCUAGUAGGUGGGGUAACGGCUCACCUAGGCGACGAUCCCUAGCUGGUCUGAGAGGAUGACCAGCCACACUGGAACUGAGACACGGUCCAGACUCCUACGGGAGGCAGCAGUGGGGAAUAUUGCACAAUGGGCGCAAGCCUGAUGCAGCCAUGCCGCGUGUAUGAAGAAGGCCUUCGGGUUGUAAAGUACUUUCAGCGGGGAGGAAGGGAGUAAAGUUAAUACCUUUGCUCAUUGACGUUACCCGCAGAAGAAGCACCGGCUAACUCCGUG
rnacentral:rRNA from 1 species